rnacentral:rRNA from 1 species
GAUGAACGCUAGCUACAGGCUUAACACAUGCAAGUCGCGGGGCAGCAUGGGGGUUGCUUGCAACUCCCGAUGGCGACCGGCGCACGGGUGAGUAACGCGUAUCCAACCUGCCCUUCACCACGGGAUAACCCGGCGAAAGUCGGACUAAUACCGUAUGUUGUCCAUUGACGGCAUCCGAUUUGGACGAAAGGCUUUGCGGUGAAGGAUGGGGAUGCGUCCGAUUAGCCAGACGGCGGGGUAACGGCCCACCGUGGCUACGAUCGGUAGGGGUUCUGAGAGGAAGGUCCCCCACACUGGAACUGAGACACGGUCCAGACUCCUACGGGAGGCAGCAGUGAGGAAGAUUGGUCAAUGGGCGUAAGCCUGAACCAGCCAAGUAGCGUGCAGGAUGACGGCCCUAUGGGUUGUAAACUGCUUUUAUGCGGGGAUAAAGUGGCCCACGGGUGGGCUUUUGCAGGUACCGCAUGAAUAAGGACCGGCUAAUUCCGUG